rnacentral:tRNA from 1 species
ACGCCCGCUCCGGCAAGUUCUGACUAAAGUGGACAACGGCCUUCUAAGCAGGGGGUCGGGAGUUCGAGUCUCCCCGGGCGCGCCA